CCCGGGACCCCAGCUCUAAGCCAGCGCUCAUCUACUUUCCGUCUCUUUGGACUGUCACAUAAACGGAAUCGUGCCGUGCUCCGUGCCCGGCCUCUCUCACUCAGCAAAACCUUUCCAAGGGUCAGCCACACGUGGGGGCACGCUUCAGCGCUUCCUUCUUUUUUAUGGCCAAAUAAUAUUCCUUUGCACGGACACACCACGCUUUAUCCGUCCGUCAGUUAAUGGACGUGUGGGUCGUUUCCACUUCUUGGUGUGGCAGAUGGCCAUUCCCUUUGCAGCCUUUUCCAAGCGCUAGGUCUGUGCCUCUCGCACUAGCUGCGCAAGUGCUACCAACCCCCCUGCCACACCCGCUCUGCACCAGGCCCCACGCCGAAUGUGGUGACGGACGGAACUCUCCCCACACCCUGACGCGGGGAUCACGGUCCCACUCUGUGGAUAAGGAAGCCCCAGUCCAGGGAAGCAAAGAGACUGGCCAAGGUCACGGGGAAAUGGGACUUACACCCAGGCCUGCCCUGCUGCCGCUAACCCCUCCUGCUGCGUUUAUGGCAUUUUUGAAAUUCAGCCCCUUUUCCAUUGGGUUUUUCAUAUUUUGGGGUCUCCUGCAGAUCAUAAGCUUCUUCAGGGGAAGAUGCUGUGUCUCAUGGUUUUUCAGUCUUCGACACAUCACGCUGUCCCUGCCACUCACACUUACGGGGCUCCUGUGGGCUUGCAGCCGGGAGGGAAGGGGUACGGGGAUGGGGUGGACCGUGCCCUCUGCCCAUCCCGCAUCCCUUCCCCUGCCUCCUGGCUGCAGGACGACCAUGUGGCUCAGACAUGGCCAAUCAAAGUUCUCAAUCCUGCUGGCCACAGGGAUUGGCCCAAGUUUGGGCACAGGAUCCAAGCCUGGCCAAUCAGAGCCUUCCUCAGGUACUUUCCAUGGCAACGGCGGCCGAGGACACCUGCUUGCUCUUUGGGACUGGGAGCGGUAAGGGCCGCAAGCUGGGAGCUGCUGUUGGCAGCCCCCUUCCGCCUCCGGGAGAGAACCAUGCAGAUGCUGUCAGUGGUAUUGCAGGAAAACGUUCAAUGCCGUGGAAAGAUGUUUACGAUAACUUCAUGAGCCUGUAGCACAAAGCUGCAAAUGAGGACCUACUAUCUCACUGGCUAUAUAUGUGUCCAUAGAUAUGAAAAUAUAUACAUAUAAUCAUGUACAAAUAAAAGGUAUGUGCCAAAAUAUUAACAGGGAUCCCCUCGAAUUAUGUGAGUACCAGUUACAUUUUUUCCUUUUGGUGUGUCUGAACUUUCUGAAAUCAGAGGGCAGUCUGCGCUUUUCAGAAGAGUUUGUCGCUGUCCUGUUUAUUUUGAGCCAGAGCCCCCGCACCCCCCUCGAGAAGUCAUUUCUACCACCUGCCUCUUGGGGAGCAUUCAGGCUCAGCCCGAGAUCCCUCCUCUGCCCUUUUAGACACACACUUUCCCCACAACUCCGUUUCCAGCCGGGGUCCCGGGCCUUUCCCACCCCAGGCUGCUCUGUUCACCUGCCCUGUCUCAGCCGCCAGGACCUGCAGUCUCGGCGUGGCCGGAAUGCCACCACCCCUGAGCGUCUUCCGGACUCUUGGAGAAAGCCAGGCCUCACUCCCACUCUGCCCGACUCAUCCUGCUGGGUACUGGAUUUUCAUUGUCAGCUCACAAGGAACCUCCAAAAAAUCUUUUCUUUGGCAGCCAAGGCCCACGUAGCUGCAUCCCACCGUCCUUCCUCCACCUCGUGACAUGGUGAGGACUGGAAGCGGCAUGCCACAACCAGCAGGCGGCAAGAAUAUUCCAGAUGUUUCCCCUCACCCACCCAGGGGACUUCCCGGCUCCUGAGAAGUCACAGGCCUCCGCUGUGGUGGCCGGGCGUCCCUCGAGUCCAACAGAGGGAUCGGGAAGGGGAAAUGCAGGGUGUUGCGGGGCUGCCCCACAGUGAUCCCUUUAGGCCUGAAGACAUCCGAGGGGUGCGUUUGCACGGAUGGACGGACGGGGAGAAGGUGCAUCUCGCGGAGCGUGAGCAUUCCGACGGGAAUGUUGGGAAGCCGGUUUUGGCCCGAGAGGAGAGGAAAGUCUCACGCUAAGAUAAACCCUGGCAGAGCGAAGUCGGCGUGCUUCUCCUCCGCCCACCAGAAGGGAAGGUGUGCCUUCGUUACGAACGGGAAGAUUUCCUCCCCGUAUCCGCGCAUGGACGGCCCGUCCGGGAUCUGCUUCCGACAUCCGCGGGCCGGCUGGUGUGGAUGAAACGAGAUUGGACGAGUUGAUGGUUUUCGACACUGGGCACCGGUACAUGGCAGUUAGGAACCCGGCCAGACGGGAGGAGCAACCCCACCACAGCCGCCCCCACGGCACGGAGUCCCUGAGCGUGACAAGGACGAGCCCGGAGCCUCCCACCGACCACUCCGCCCCCCACCCCGCUCCCUGUUGACGUCGGGGCCAUCGGAGAACCCUCGGCUCUGAGUAAUAAACGCGCCGCUCGGCGGGAACAUGUGUUUCCAAUCAUCCUGCUCAGCGGUGAGUCACCACCAAGAGCUGCUGCCCCGUCCCGCCACUCACCUUCAGCCCCGCCACGCUGACAGCCCGGGCGGCCCUGCCCCCUCCUGGCCCCGCACUCAGCCAGCCGGCCCCCCCAGGAGCCUAAGGUGUCCUCCCACCUGUGGGCCUUCGAGCACUCGCCCUUCCAUCCGGAACGGAGCCCGCCCCUUUGUCCGGGUCACUCCGACCCAAGCUCCGGGUCCCACUGGAGGUGUCAUUUAUCCCAGGCAGCCUCUGGACCCCCCGCCCUGCCUCACAGACAGGCAGUCAAGGGCCCAGCCGUGCCCACCCGUUGCCCUUGGUACCAGCCACCUCACCCGCGUGCCCUGCCAUUGCCCCUUUGUCUGUUUUUCCUGCCGGAGGGUGGUUUGUGCCGUAGGGGGAAGCGGCCACCUUUUCCGUCUGUAUCCCCAGCUCCUGCCCAGCUCUGACCCAUGGCUGGCGCCCAAUAAAUACCUGUUGAAUGAAUGAAUGAAAGGAAUGAACGAAGGGACAAUCUGUGACCUUAAGAAGCGCACAGUCAAGGGGGUGGACAGACAUGAGAACAAGGGC